GUUCUCAGGUGCUCUAGUGCCUAGGGGCUAACAGCCCUCUCGGGCUUGGAGAUGGAGAGAUGAAAGGCUCCGCACAGUUUUCACAGAGUUCCUGGGCCGUCGAGGGAUGGACGGACAAACUACUGUCACCAAAGAGCCAGCAGUAUUGGUAUGUCCUGGGAGCUUGCCAGAAAUGCAGAGUUCCAGGCCCCCAGCCUUCCUGAAUCCGAACCUCCCUUGAAACGGGAUCCCCAGGGGGCUUCGUGAGCACAUCAAGCUCUGAGAAGCAGGCUCUAGUUCCAGCUGUGUCAGAGCCUUCUGCAGAACGUCAGGACAGUCCUGCGGAGAAAAGACAAGACAGGCAGGACAGCUGGCUUCUCCUCCUGGCUCGGUCGCUGGUUCAUCACCUAAUAUUUGUUCCUCCCGGACUCUCACCUAACCCACCAUGCACAUGCUGACAAGGCCCCAGUGCUUUGCUCGGAGCCCCGUGUCACUGUGUGUCUGGGAAGACUUUAAAAAUACAGCCACUAGGUCCCCCUCCACUCAGAGAUUCUGCUUCAGUACAUCUCGGUUAGGUCAGGAUGGUGUGUGUUUAAAGGCUGCCAGAUAAUUCCGAAGAUCAGCCAGAUUUGUAAGCCAAUGGCCUGUCCAAAGGCACUGCUCAGUGGGACAACUGGUGCCCCAUGGGACUGGACAGCAUCCGGUUCAGGGAGGCCACAGCUGUGUUGGCCCGAAGCAGGCACUGCGGAGAGACCCAGGCAGACCCACAAUCACCCUUUGGUCUCCCUGUGAGUGUAGACAGAUCCUGCCACAGGAGCUCCCCGAGUCCGUUCCUUUGUAAAAUGAGGUCAGCAGUCACUCGGCCUCCCAGCCCAGUUGGGAGGAUUAAGUGGAACAACUUGGAGUCUGUGCUCUGUGAGUGGUCACGCUCUGUGCAAACUGUCCACCCCCUCCCAGCUGCCCUCUGGCCACCUGCACUGGGACCAGUGGCAUCCAGCCUGGUCGAAGGUUAACGUCUCUCACCACAGUGAAGGGCUUGGAGAGGCUGUGCUGCUGCCCCGGGCCAGAGGGCCAGCAGGGAAGCAGACCCCCAGCUUUUGGCCCAGGUGGUCAUUUUUGGAAUUACUCCACUCUGCACAGCCACCUGCCUUGCCCAGUACUUUUGUGUUUUCUCUAAUCUUUUGGAGCCUUGCUUGUUACACCAGUUGGUCAGCAGGAGCCUGCACGCUGGCUGGCCAGUGAGACUGAAACCAAUUCCAGUGGGACUGAAAUCUUUUGCAUCUGUCACCGUCUCUCCAUGUCCGUGCUCUUUUUCAUCACCCUAAUCCAAGGGCCUUUCAGGAGGCCAUUAUUGCCCUCUGCAGAUGUGUUCUUCUCACGCAGCCAGAGGGGUCCUCUUAAGAUAUAAAUCAGAUCGUGUCAUUGAUUUGACCGGCUUUCUGUUCUUAUUGAAUAAAAUCCAAACUAGAGUAAAAGAAAUACCCUGGAAUGCCUUCUCCUCCUCUUCACGUGAACCUCACACUUCCCCUGAUUUAGUGGCCCUGUGCCACCUGGCCAUCUAUUUCUCAUCUCAUGCCGUGCUACCUACCCUGACUUGCUUUGCGAGGCAGAAAAAUUGCUAUGUGUUCUCCUCACCUGUUUAUUGUCCUCCUUUGCACAAAGCUGGCUCCUCUGAAGUGAGGCGGGACCAUAUAUUUGAGUUCCAGUCAAAGGAAUAUGAGUGCAAGUGACAUAUACCAUCUCCAGGCUUGGCCCCCAAAUGCCCCAGGAGCUUUUUCUCUUUGCUCUUGGCUGUGUGCAGAGGAUAUAAUGGACAACUCCAAGGAGACCUUGCAGAUGGCAGAGCACCUAAUUAGAAUGAGUUUGGGUUUUGAAUAACUGAGUGAAAGACCACCCACUGAACACCUUAUUUGAGGAAUAAACUUUUAUUGUCUGAAAUCACUGAGAUUUGGGACUGUAUGCUCUAGCAGCAUUUACCCUGACUCAUGGCCUUUUCUCAGUUCCUGCAAUAUCUUAAGAUUCUGCUUGUCCUAUGCUGUUCCCUCUGCUUGGAAUGCUUUUCCCUAUCAUUCCUCACAUGCUUAUCUCUUUAGCCUCUAGGUCUUCAUUUAGAAGUCACCACCCAACUGU